UGUUACACCGGCACUGAACUCCUCCUCUCUGACCUUUCUUUCGCUUUUUUUUUUUUUGAUGUACGGUCGAGUCUUGAGGUAGGAUAUUAGUUGGAAAGGUGGAAGUAUCAUAAUGAGGUGUCGCCGAAGUAAGAGAGAGUGCGAGAAGGUACUCACGGCUAUACAACAUAGCGGAGGUCCGCCAUGUGAGAAUUUAAAGUGAGACCAAGUUUUAGCAAAAAAUGACAACAGUACGAGCAGGAGGAAUCUGAUCUAAGGUAAUGGCGGAGAGCGUAACCGUUACAGUGAAAUCCACAGAAACAGAAAGCAAAGAUGAGAGUAGCGAGAGUAUCGAGAGCACCGAUCGCCAGGUCGGAGAGCCUCUCCGGGCUCCCAUGCCUACACACUUUUCGCUGCUAUUCCCCCCGUUUAAACCCCUUCUCCGGUCUACAUUCAUACGGAGCCUGUCAAGUCUGUCAGCUGCAGUCUACCUCUCAGGAAUCGCUCAUUUGCGAUCUAGAUCAGUGGUUCUCAAAGUUUUUCGGACCGCGGACCACUUUAAGUAAAAGCUAUGGCGGACCACCAAGGCCUAAGUAAAAAAUAUGGCGGACCAGUGGACCACCAAGGCAUAAAAAUCAGUCUGUACUAUGAAUUUCAAAUUUAAAUUGCCGCAUUUGUUUCAUUUUAAUUCAAAACUAAAUGUCCUUUUGUAAAAGUAAUAUAGUAAUACGUUGACAUAGAACUACGUAUACUUCGUUCUUUGUAAUUAAAAUGUUAAUGCGAGGAAUACAUCACUUUAAACAUCACUUUGCUGACAUAUGACGACUGCAGCCGCGGACCACCUGAAUUAUGCUCGCGGACCACUAGUGGUCCGCGGACCACACUUUGAGAACCACUGAUCUAGAUGAAUGACUUACCUACAGCACAAACGUUUCUUCUCUGUCGGUGAAUAUCUUUCUGCAGAAAGGGGUUUACCGAAGGCACGAACUCCUUUUUUCUAACACUUGGUCCACUGGUUGUGUAUACCGCCGUCUCGGAGAAUUAUGCAUAUGACCUUCGUCCAACAAGUACAACCUUUACCCAGCAAGCACUCUGGCCCACUUCCGGUUUUGCUGUUUACUGUUUAUACUCGUAGCAUUCUUCAAGCAUGAGGGCUCUUACAAAUAAAAAUGAUAAUCGAAUUUGCUGUGUACCUCAAUGUACAGUUAAGGCCUAUAAAUGUUCAACAUUGUCCUUCCAUGAAAUUCCAAAGGAUGAGCAAAUGAAGAAGCUUUGGCUUGUAAGAAUUCGAAGAGACGAUCGAAGGACCCCUCUUUCGGGAAGGUGGACAAAAGUUUGUAGCAGGCACUUUGUGCCAGAAGAUUUUCGCCCUUUACCCUUAAAAGGAAAGCAAAGGAGACUAAAGCCAGAUGCUGUACCAAGCUUGUUUACAUGGAACAACUUUCAGCGCCGACCACACUUUGAGAACCACUGUUGUAAGGGUAGUGAAGUUGAAGAAGUUAUCUGGUCCCCUGAUUGUGGACUGAAUAGUUUCUACUGGCAAACGGCAAUGAAAAUAUUCAUCAUGUGAUACAGUAUCACUAAUCUUUUACAUGGAAAAAUUGUGUCCCCCUCCUUGUGGCAGUCUUUCGAGAGGCAUUGCCUGCACAAGGACAUGGCUGUGAUACAAAAUAUUGCCGAAAAAUAAGUUUUUGAUGCAUUAGGCCCCCUGCGUUUGCCUUGCAGGGCGACCCGUGUUGGUGAAUGAUGGGAUCCUGGAGGUUGAGGUUCCUGAUGGGAUGUGGCUCAUUAUACCAACACACUUCUUUGCCCCGGACUUCUCUUAGACAGGAGGUUGGUGUGCCCACAACAAUCAACCGACUGGUCAUGUAUUGCCCUAGCUUUGCUAGAAGGCUGCGGCUGGGGUCAAUCUGGUCUUCAUACUCAGAUGACCAGAAAAUUGCUGUUCAUCUGAUGAAGAAGUUACAAACAAACAGCAAGCAGCUACAGGCUAUUUCAGAUGAGCUGAAAGCUAAAGGUGUCCAACUGGCAGAUCCAGAGACAUCACUCUAUGGUUAUAUUCUGCCUCAUCUAAACAAGGAUCAAGUACAUGCAGCCGACUGCGUACCCGAACAUUGCUGAGCUGAAGAAGAAGAACACAUAAUUUGAGGAUAUAAACUUGUUUAAGCAGUGGUUGACAGAGCAAAAUGUGUCCAUAAGUCAGUCAUGCACCCCGUGAACAAGUCACUUUUGAUUAUUCUAUAAUUAAAUUGUUGCCAGGAUCCAAAUUUUAUAAUCCAUUUCCCAAAGACAUCUUUGAUAUGACUGAAGUGACAGACAUCAGAUGUGAUUGUGAAUCCGAUUGGAUAUUGAUGAUUUUGAUGAGAAUUAACUGUAUACAUCUCAUUUUCAUUUAAGAAAUUGUAUCAAUUCAAUAACAACUGCUUAUGAAUCCUUUUUGCAUAUUUUCUUCUACAUGGAAAAUAGCAUGUAUGAUUUACAUCAUACAGUGAAGAUGUGAACUGUUCAAACACCAGAGCUAUGCCUCUUUUGUCAGAAAUCUGUCUAAACGAACCCCUUUUUAUGAAUACAUAAGAAUGGCAGUAUUGACCACCUCAUUAUUGCUCACAAAUGUAAACUAUCAUCAGUGAUAUUUAUCAGCCAAGUUUCAUAUUCAAUAGCCUGUUGCAUUUCACAUGUUGAUUCAUUUUGUUCAUAUGCCUUCUUAUGCUGUGUAGUCCAUCUUCGGGUAUUGUGUUCCCUGCACAUGUUCUGGGCAUGAAUCCAUUCAUUCCUUUAUGCAAAUAGCUAUCUAAUAAGGUUAUACUGUUUGGAACAUUUAAUUGAUAUUCACACCUGUUUUGCAAUUUUGACAGUAUAUGCAAGUUUGAAUCAAGGUCAGCUGGCUACUUUGGUAAUAUUAAGAUGUUAAGUGUGGUCAUCACACAUAUAAGAUAAUUCUUUGAAAGGAUUAUUGUACACGUUUUGCAGCUUAUGUGUUUAUGAUGUAUGUGUAUGUGUGUGUGCCGAUUCUUAUUGCCCACUCACAUACCCAUGCAAAACAUUUGCCCAUCCACCCAAUCUUUCCAAUCUCAUUCAACAAACAUAUAUAAGAAACGGACAGCUCUUUUGUAAAAUAGGGUCAUUAAAGAUAAUAUUUUAAAAAUAUUGUUUCCAAAAACAUAACACCGCACAAAUUUAUUACAAAAUUUUCUAGGUCUCAGAGGAGCACCAUUACUUGGUUAGUGCCUUUCUUUAGUACCCUUCUAAUGACUGACAUAUUUUAAUGAUAUGUUUUCCUUUUAAAUGUGUAUAUAAUUAUAUAUAUUUUAUGUACGAUUAUAUGGCUGAGUGGAUUAAUAUUCUUUCUGUUAAGAUGAUUAUAAAAAUUUAUUAUCUUUUACCAGAUUAGUUUUCAAAAUUAUGAAGAUCAUUGAUGGACUAACAGAAAAGUCAUUCAAGAUUAAGGCAGCAUCCAACGAUAAAUCAAAUGUUGUAUCUAAAAAUAACACUAACUCUGGGUGUGCACAAGAACUGUUAAUUUGCAGUCGACAGCCAACCUACAGUUACUAUUUAAAAACAAUGUCAAAUAUUUUAAUGACAUUUAUUUGAUUGUGCAUUCCGUCAAAUCAUCAUAAAUCAGGUAAAUCUAUA